rnacentral:rRNA from 1 species
AUUGAACGCUGGCGGCAGGCCUAACACAUGCAAGUCGAACGGUAACAGGAAACAGCUUGCUGUUUCGCUGACGAGUGGCGGACGGGUGAGUAAUGUCUGGGAAACUGCCUGAUGGAGGGGGAUAACUACUGGAAACGGUAGCUAAUACCGCAUAACGUCGCAAGACCAAAGAGGGGGACCUUCGGGGCUCUUGCCAUCAGAUGUGCCCAGAUGGGAUUAGCUAGUAGGUGGGGUAACGGCUCACCUAGGCGACGAUCCCUAGCUGGUCUGAGAGGAUGACCAGCCACACUGGAACUGAGACACGGUCCAGACUCCUACGGGAGGCAGCAGUGGGGAAUAUUGCACAAUGGGCGCAAGCCUGAUGCAGCCAUGCCGCGUGUAUGAAGAAGGCCUUCGGGUUGUAAAGUACUUUCAGCGGGGAUGAAGGGAGUAAAGUUAAUACCUUUGCUCAUUGACGUUACCCGCAGAAGAAGCACCGGCUAACUCCGUG